rnacentral:lncRNA from 1 species
CAGAAGAUCCAAGACUCCCUCCUCGCUCUCGGUGGACCGGAUUUUGCAACAGUGCUCGCCAAACUGAAGGAGUUCUGUUGGCAGCUUCACUGUCUGGACGAAGAAGCUGCCAGUGUGGGGGAAGACGUGCGGCUUUUGGGCUCCAUAGUGAAUCCAAAGAACCUCCAGGAUUUGUUGGAGAUGGAAUCUGAGUUUCAGGAGAAACUCAGGAACGCUCACCAGAUCUUUGAAGAAGUGGAGGAACAAACAGAGAGAAACAUUCAAGAUCUAAACAGAUCCAUCAGUUUGACUCCCGAGGAUGCGGUCGACGGCUCCCAGCAGGUUAUCCACCUCCAGGACCACAAGAGGGCGACAGAGAUCCAGCUCACAACUCGAACUCUGUCUGAGGCUGAGGACUCGCAGGUAACAGGUCUUCCCCCUGUCGUGGUUCCAACAACCUUUACCAGCUGA